UACGGAGGGGGCUAGCGUUGUUCGGAAUUACUGGGCGUAAAGCGCACGUAGGCGGAUUAGUAAGUCGGAGGUGAAAUCCCGGGGCUCAACCUCGGAACUGCCUUUGAUACUGUCAGUCUCGAGUCCGAGAGAGGUGAGUGGAAUUCCUAGUGUAGAGGUGAAAUUCGUAGAUAUUAGGAAGAACACCAGUGGCGAAGGCGGCUCACUGGCUCGGUACUGACGCUGAGGUGCGAAAGCGUGGGGAGCAAACAGG
rnacentral:rRNA from 1 species